rnacentral:rRNA from 1 species
GACGAACGCUGGCGGCGUGCUUAACACAUGCAAGUCGAACGGAAAGGCCCUGCUUUUGUGGGGUGCUCGAGUGGCGAACGGGUGAGUAACACGUGAGUAACCUGCCCUUGACUUUGGGAUAACUUCAGGAAACUGGGGCUAAUACCGGAUAGGAGCUCCUGCUGCAUGGUGGGGGUUGGAAAGUUUCGGCGGUUUGGGAUGGACUCGCGGCUUAUCAGCUUGUUGGUGGGGUAGUGGCUUACCAAGGCUUUGACGGGUAGCCGGCCUGAGAGGGUGACCGGCCACAUGGGGACUGAGGGACGGCCCAGACUCCUACGGGAGGCAGCAGGGGGGAAUAUUGCACAAUGGGCGGAAGCCUGAUGCGACAACGCCGCGUUCGGGAUGACGGCCUUCGGGUUGUAAACCGCUUUCGCCUGUGACGAAGCGUGAGUGACGGUAAUGGGUAAAGAAGCACCGGCUAACUACGUG